rnacentral:rRNA from 1 species
UACGGGGGGGGGGCAAGCGUUGUUCGGAAUUACUGGGCGUAAAGGGCUCGUAGGUGGCCAACUAAGUCAUACGUGAAAUCCCUCGGCUUAACCGGGGAACUGCGUCUGAUACUUGGAUGGCUUGAGGUUGGGAGAGGGAUGCGGAAUUCCACGUGUAGCGGUGAAAUGCGUAGAGAUGUGGAGGAAUACCAGUGGCGAAGGCGGCCUUCUGGACGGAUGACUGACGCUGAGGAGCGAAAGCGUGGGGAGCGAACAGG